rnacentral:tmRNA from 1 species
GGGGCUGAUCGGUUUCGACAGCGCCUGUGAAGCUGCGGGAAGCGGGCCGAGGAUGCAGGGUUAUCUCGUAAACGACCUCUGCGAACCAAUAGUUGCCG